CAGCCGUAAACUAUGCGCGUUAGGUGUAUCGGUGACCACGAGUUACCGAGGUGCCGAAGGGAAACCGUGAAACGUGCCGCCUGGGAAGUACGGUCGCAAGGCUGAAACUUAAAGGAAUUGGCGGGGGAGCACCACAACAGGUGGAGCCUGCGGUUUAAUUGGAUUCAACACCGUAAAACUCACCAGGGAAGACUGUUACAUGAAGGCCGAGAUGAAGACUCUGCUAGAUUUUCAGAGAGGAGGUGCAUGGCGUCAGUGACU
rnacentral:rRNA from 1 species